rnacentral:rRNA from 1 species
GACGAACGCUGGCGGCGUGCUUAACACAUGCAAGUCGAACGGAAAGGCCCUGCUUUUGUGGGGUGCUCGAGUGGCGAACGGGUGAGUAACACGUGAGUAACCUGCCCUUGACUUUGGGAUAACUUCAGGAAACUGGGGCUAAUACCGGAUAGGAGCUCCUGCUGCAUGGUGGGGGUUGGAAAGUUUCGGCGGUUGGGGAUGGGUUCGCGGGUUAUCAGCUUGUUGGUGGGGUAGUGGGUUACCAAGGCUUUGACGGGUAGCCGGCCUGAGGGGGUGACCGGCGGUAUUGGGACUGAGAGACGGCCGCGACUCCGACGGGAGGGAGAAGGGGGGAAUAUUGAACAAGGGGCGGAGGCCGGGUGCAGAAGCGCCGCGGGCGGGAUAACGGCCUUCGGGUUGUAAACCGCUUUCGCCUGUGACGAAGCGUGAGUGGCGGGAAUGGGUAAAGAAGCACCGGGUAACGACGUGC